rnacentral:tmRNA from 2 species
GGGGGCGUACCGGUUUCGACGGGGGUGGUGAGGCUGGAAUAGCGAGCAGAGGCGCCUGGCCUCUAUAAAACGGGCAAUUUUUUAAACUUAACUGACAACAAUAAAGUUGCCUUGGCUGCCUGAUUAGGCGCCCGUUCCCCCCGGAAGGACCGCGAGCCGGGCUGGAGCGUCGAUGAGCGGUGCACGUGCGUGCGGUAAGCUUUGCCCGCACCAUGCAUGAUGAAGCUACCAAGCCGUAAAGGGUGUCCCUUCCCGUUACGGUGAGGGAAUGGAAACAAUGGACUGCGCUCGGAGAGAUUCCUGUCAAGCUGCUUUCGGACGCGGGUUCGACUCCCGCCGCCUCCACCA